AGUUGUUCCAACGGUUGUGGGUUAUUGUUAAACUGAUUUACAUUGUCUCCCCUCACAACCAUACUUGAAUAACAAUGU
rnacentral:Y_RNA from 1 species